rnacentral:rRNA from 1 species
AUACGGAGGGUGCAAGCGUUAUCCGGAAUCAUUGGGUUUAAAGGGUCCGUAGGCGGGCGAUUAAGUCAGAGGUGAAAUCCCACAGCUCAACUGUGGAACUGCCUUUGAUACUGGUUGUCUUGAGUUACAGUGAAGUAGAUAGAAUGUGUAGUGUAGCGGUGAAAUGCAUAGAUAUUACACAGAAUACCGAUUGCGAAGGCAGUCUACUAACUGUAUACUGACGCUAAUGGACGAAAGCGUGGGGAGCGAACAGGAUUAGAAACCCGAGUAGUCC